GUGCCAGCAGCCGCGGUAAUACGAAGGGGGCUAGCGUUGUUCGGAAUUACUGGGCGUAAAGCGCACGUAGGCGGACGUUUAAGUCAGGGGUGAAAUCCCAGGGCUCAACCCUGGAACUGCCUUUGAUACUGGACGUCUUGAGUACGGGAGAGGUGAGUGGAAUUCCGAGUGUAGAGGUGAAAUUCGUAGAUAUUCGGAAGAACACCAGUGGCGAAGGCGGCUCACUGGCCCGUAACUGACGCUGAGGUGCGAAAGCGUGGGGAGCAAACAGGAUUAGAAACCCUGGUAGUCC
rnacentral:rRNA from 1 species